UUUCCUUCUCUCUCUUCUUCUUCCAUUUCAGAUCUCUCUCUCUCACCCUCUCGAACACACGGCAACCACCAAGACCACCACAAAAACACCCUAAACUUCCACCAACGACGGAUUUAAGAGUGCCAUCGUACUCCUGAAGACCAUACGAUCACGAUGAUACCCAUUUCAAGUAAGUUUCACUUCGAAAACCCUAGUUUCUAAAGUUGCCGUGAAUGUGUACUGUUCAUGAGCUUUGAAUUGGUUGUGUUUUAGGCCAAACCAAGCUCAUAGUGAGCUUUAGGAUGUCCCAAGGAAGCUCGGAGUGCUUCGUUGGAAGUUUUUGGACGUAAGAACACGGAGAUCGACAAGUUCAAAGUUUGGCCGGAGCUUUCGAGGCGUUUUCCGGCGAAUCCCCGGAGAGUUAGGAGUCGAGGUAGGUAUCAAUCUCUUCGUCUCGUCAAGUACUACAACUUUCCUUUUUGUUUCACUCAAUUUCGUUGAGUAUUGAAGAAGUUAUACUCAUUUGAAAAAUACCCAGUUUCCGGCGACCUCCGAGGCUUUCGAGGCAGUUUCCGGCCAAACCAAGGCGAACUAGAUGUUGUGCAAG
rnacentral:lncRNA from 1 species